rnacentral:rRNA from 1 species
GAUGAACGCUGGCGGCGUGCCUAAUACAUGCAAGUCGAGCGAACGGACGAGAAGCUUGCUUCUCUGAUGUUAGCGGCGGACGGGUGAGUAACACGUGGAUAACCUACCUAUAAGACUGGGAUAACUUCGGGAAACCGUAGCUAAUACCGGAUAAUAUUUUGAACCGCAUGGUUCAAAAGUGAAAGACGGUCUUGCUGUCACUUAUAGAUGGAUCCGCGCUGCAUUAGCUAGUUGGUAAGGUAUCGGCUUACCAAGGCAACGAUGCAUAGCCGACCUGAGAGGGUGAUCGGCCACACUGGAACUGAGACACGGUCCAGACUCCUACGGGAGGCAGCAGUAGGGAAUCUUCCGCAAUGGGCGAAAGCCUGACGGAGCAACGCCGCGUGAGUGAUGAAGGUCUUCGGAUCGUAAAACUCUGUUAUUAGGGAAGAACAUAUGUGUAAGUAACUGUGCACAUCUUGACGGUACCUAAUCAGAAAGCCACGGCUAACUACGUG